AUUGGUUCUUGUAUCAACAGUCCAGAUAUCAGUUAGGGAGUAAGAAGUUUCUUUCCCAGCUGGCAGAUCUGUUACAUUAGCUGGAGAGUUUGUUAUUAGCUUAAUCUAGAAUCUUCUAGAACUAUCUAGAAAUUCAAUUAGCUCAACCCACUUGUAUAUAUCUGUAUGUUCAGUUGUCAAUGAGAAUUGUCUCGUUCUCCAUCCAUUUCUUUUUUAGGCUUACUUUUCUAAUGGUAUCAGAGCAUUUCUCACCUGUGCUUUGACAACCAAUCUUAUUCUCUAGAUCUAAGGCAGCUACCAAACUUAGAUCAUCUUUUCUAGUAACCGUUUCUUGAUCUUCCGUGGCUGAUGUAGCUGAUCAUGGUGAUUCUAGUCCAGAUCUUGAUAGCAGGAAACAAGAUACAAGCAGCAAAGUUGAGAAUGAUGUGUUUAAUCUACAGAAUUCAGAUCAUCCGGGGAUGAUUUUGGUGAGUACACCAUCGAAUGGCAACAACUAUUUGUCUUGGAGUCGUUCUAUGGUAAUUGCUUUAAAGGCCAAAGAUAAGUUAGGACUUAUCAAUGGCAAAUGUGUUGUUCCUGAAGUUGAUUCUGCUACAUUUGAGAAGUGGCAGAAGGUGGAUAGUAUGGUGUACUCUUGGAUACUCAAUUCAUUAUCAAUCUCAAUUCAUUAUCAAAGGAUUUGGCUAAUGCCUUCUUAUACGCAGCAUCUGCCAUGGAAUUAUGUGAAGAAAUCAGGCUGAGAUUUGGACACAGUAAUGGGCCUUUGCUCUAUCAACUGAAGAGAGAUAAAAGUACUCUUAGUCUAAUAUGACUAUUAUGAAUUGUUUGAAGCCAUUACCUAUGUGUAAUUCUGGAGCAUCAAAAUAUAUGAGUGAGAUAGAUAAUGAUGACAAGGUAAUUCAAUUCUUGAUGGUUUUCAAUGACAGAUUCUUAUAACACAGCCACUGCCAAGUAUCAAUAAAGCCUACUCCAUGGUUCUUAAGAUUGAAAGGCAGAGAGAGGUGCAUUCUAUGGUAACUAAUGACUUAAACACUGCAUUAGCUGUAAAUACACAGAAAUAUCAAAAUGAUCCUAGUGGAAACAGAUUUCAACCUAAUAAGAAAGGUUAUGGAGAGAAAGAUGAUAGAGUUUGCAACUAUUGUAACACUAGUGGUCAUAUCAGGGAGACAUGUUUCAAAUUACAUGGUUUUCCAGAUUGGUUCAAUGAAUUAAAGCUGAAGAAGAAUAAGGGAAAAUCAAACUUUGCUGCUGCUGCGCAGUCAAAUGAAACUCCACGGGACUAUGAUUUUGACAAUGCUGUUCAUCAUGGAGAAAAGGCUUAUCUAAUAUGAUGCAGCAGUCCAACUUGAUCAAUCAAGAGCUGCUGAAGUUUAUGAACGGUCAGAAUCAGAAUGCAUAUGUGAAUGAAGCUGGUUGUGUGACAUUUACUACUUAUUUUGCAGGACCAAGUAACCAGUGAAGUUAUGGCUACUGGAUUCUCACGUCAAGGCCUCUAUAGACUAAAUAAAGAUUCUCCAACAGUCAAUGCUCCUCAUACUAGCCUACCUAAGACUGUAUUUUCUAAUUCAAAUAAAGUCUGUCAAAUUUAAGAGGAUGUCAACUGUAAUUUGUGGCAUCUCAGAUUAGGACACCCAUCACCUACAAAAUUGUCACACAUUCCUAAAUUACAUGUAAGGGAUUCUAAUCAUCAUGUUUGUGAAAUUUACCAUUUGGCUAAGCAACGUAGAAUUUCAUUUCCAAAGAGUAAAAUUUCGACUA